AAACAAUGCAUCAAAAACUUUCGCAAAAAAUAUUUAAAUCGCUCCCAAGCUUAAUACAAGUUCUCAUCCUCCUAUUGCUUAAAAAAUGUGAUGUCAUUUCUUUGCCU